rnacentral:rRNA from 1 species
GUUUCCGUAGGUGAACCUGCGGAAGGAUCAUUCACGCCAAU